rnacentral:misc_RNA from 1 species
GAUGAAGAACGUAGCGAAAUGCGAUAAGUAAUGUGAAUUGCAGAAUUCAGUGAAUCAUCGAAUCUUUGAACGCACCUUGCGCUCCUUGGUAUUCCGAGGAGCAUGCCUGUUUGAGUGUCAUUAAAUUCUCAACCUUUAUCUUUUAUUGAUAAAUGGCUUGGACUUGGGGGUUUGCUGGCGAAAGUCAGCUCCUCUGAAAUGUAUUAGCUGGUUGCCUUGUGUGAACUUGUCUAUUAGUGUGAUAAUUAUCUACGCCGUGGGCUGUUUGCCGUUUUAGCACUGCUUCUAACUGUCUGUUAACUCGGACAAUAUAUGACAAUUUGACCUCAAAUCAGGUAGGACUACCCGCUGAACUUAAGCAUAUCAAUAAGCGGAGGA